rnacentral:misc_RNA from 1 species
AAGUCGUAACAAGGUUUCCGUAGGUGAACCUGCGGAAGGAUCAUUUCCAAAAAAAAAACUAUACUCACCCACUGUGUGCAACGUUUUGGGUUUUUAAAACAUUUACUCUCCUACUCCUCCCUUUUGGUUAGUUUGAGGAGUUUUUAUUGGGGAUUUUGGGGCGACUCGUUAUCCCCGAUAUUUUCUCUCCGAACCAAGCUAUUAGGGAUCCAAGGGGUUAGAGAGGCCUUGAUGAACUACCUUGUAAACUAAGGUUGAUCUUAAUACUUUUUUCGAACCAAUGUGACUGCAAAGUCAUAAGAAAAAUGAUACGACAACUUUUAACGGUGGAUCUCUUGGCUCGU